UCGGACCGACAUCGGCUCAAUUAUUUCUAUUUAAACCGGAAUACUCGACUUUGAAAAGGAAAUCAAGCAGUUCACCGGAGAAUAAUACUCCGUCUAGAUCAACUCGAACUUAACAAACCAAAAAAAAAAUUCGCUUGGACCAGCAGCGAAAUCCGACCAAGGAGGUUAAGCAAGCUGUUAAUGAUAUUUGUUGUUGGAAUUGGGGUUGCCUUUAUUUUGUGGAAAAAGGUGACGAGGUCGCUGGACUUUGGCGAUUUGGGUGUGUUGUGGGAAUGGGUCUAUGGAGUUCUAGCGAAGAUGGGGCGG
rnacentral:lncRNA from 1 species